UACGUAGGGUGCAAGCGUUGUCCGGAAUUAUUGGGCGUAAAGAGCUCGUAGGCGGUUUGUUGCGUCGGCUGUGAAAACCUGAGGCUCAACCUCAGGCCUGCAGUCGAUACGAGCAGACUAGAGUGUUGCAGGGGAGACUGGAAUUCCUGGUGUAGCGGUGAAAUGCGCAGAUAUCAGGAGGAACACCGGUGGCGAAAGGCGGGUCUCUGGGCAACAACUGACGUGGAGGAGCGAAAGCGUGGGGAGCGAACAGG
rnacentral:rRNA from 1 species